CCUUAACCUGCUAAAUAGACCAGCCGGCUUUGGCUGGCUGCUGUCUUCUUAGAGGGACUAUCAGCGUUUAGCUGAUGGAAGUUUGAGGCAAUAACAGGUCUGUGAUGCCCUUAGAUGUUCUGGGCCGCACGCGCGCUACACUGACAGAGCCAGCGAGUCUACCACCUUGGCCGGAAGGCCUGGGUAAUCUUGUGAAACUCUGUCGUGAUGGGGAUAGAACAUUGCAAUUAUUGUUCUUCAACGAGGAAUACCUAGUAAGCGUGAGUCAUCAGCUCGCGUUGAUUACGUCCCUGCCCUUUGUACACACCGCCCGUCGCUACUACCGAUUGAAUGGCUUAGUGAGGCCUCCAGAUUGGCUAUUGGGAUCUCGCGAGAGAACCUAACUGCUGAGAAGUUGUACGAACUUGGUCAUUUAGAGGAAGUAAAAGUCG
rnacentral:rRNA from 1 species